rnacentral:misc_RNA from 1 species
GGAUUAUAUUGCACUAUUUCCCAACUUGCUUCCUUCUAGCUCUUACUGAUACAGAAGCAGCAGCAGCAGCAUACCAAACAACUUUGUCAGAUCUAGAGAUUUACAAGACAGGAAAUUGCCAAACCAGUAGAGUAAAAAACAAGAACAAAAACCAUAAGAAAAUGGAGGGGUUGAGGAUGAAAAGAACUUGAUCUUAAUAGAUAUGAG